UACGAAGGGGGCUAGCGUUGUUCGGAAUUACUGGGCGUAAAGCGCGCGCAGGCGGUCCUUCAAGUCAGGGGUGAAAGCCCAGGGCUCAACCCUGGAAUGGCCUUUGAGACUAGAGGACUUGGGUACGGGAGAGGUGAGUGGAAUUCCGAGUGUAGAGGUGAAUUCGUAGAUAUUCGGAAGAACACCAGUGGCGAAGGCGGCUCACUGGCCCGUUACCGACGCUGAGGCACGAAAGCGUGGGGAGCAAACAGG
rnacentral:rRNA from 1 species